rnacentral:rRNA from 1 species
GACGAACGCUGGCGGCGUGCCUAAUACAUGCAAGUUGAGCGCUGAAGGUUGGUACUUGUACCAACUGGAUGAGCAGCGAACGGGUGAGUAACGCGUGGGGAAUCUGCCUUUGAGCGGGGGACAACAUCUGGAAACGAAUGCUAAUACCGCAUAAAAACUUUAAACACAAGUUUUAAGUUUGAAAGAUGCAAUUGCAUCACUCAAAGAUGAUCCCGCGUUGUAUUAGCUAGUUGGUGAGGUAAAGGCUCACCAAGGCGAUGAUACAUAGCCGACCUGAGAGGGUGAUCCGCCACAUUGGGACUGAGACACGGCCCAAACUCCUACGGGAGGCAGCAGUAGGGGAUCUUCGGCAAUGGACGAAAGUCUGACCGAGCAACGCCGCGUGAGUGAAGAAGGUUUUCGGAUCGUAAAACUCUGUUGGUAGAGAAGAACGUUGGUGAGAGUGGAAAGCUCAUCAAGUGACGGUAACUACCCAGAAAGGGACGGCUAACUACGUG